rnacentral:other from 1 species
AUCACCCUGCCGUGUUCGAGAUUGCCAUAUAUUCUAUGAACCAUUCCCGAGCAUCGGUUGCGGGAUAUUGUCCGGUGGGUGUGAUCGUCGCUUGUUCGACGAACCCGAGACCAGACUGACCGUGACCCCCUUGAACCACAGGUUCAAGAUGCCGGCAUGACGGCACAGGCGGGGAACC